UCAACAUGUCAACUAACCUAAACCCACGCCGAAUUCCAAAACUGCCCUACCCUUGAAGUUUUCUUUCUUUAUCCUCUAAACGAAACCACUGUCACGUUUCUGUCGUGCGCUGCCUGUGUGGCUUCAAAUUCUUCUCUGAUACUAUUUAGUUCAAAAUUUGAACAAAUAAACGUCCUUCUUUUAUCUUACUUACGUUUAUCGCAUCAACAACUGCAAUUACGAAACCCUAGCUUUUAUUUCAUGAUCUGAUCCAUCUUAACCAGCAUGGAUCGUAUCGUCGGUGGCAAGUACAAACUCGGCCGAAAAAUCGGCAGCGGAUCCUUCGGCGAAAUUUAUCUCGCUACGCAUGUUGAUACGUUUGAGAUCGUCGCCGUCAAGAUUGAAAAUAGUAGAACAAAACAUCCGCUUCUGCUUUACGAGGCCAAGUUAUACAAUAUUCUUCAAGGAGGAAGUGGAAUUCCAAACAUCAAAUGGUCUGGUACAGAUGGGGAGGAUAGUACACUUGUCCUUGAUUUGCUGGGACCAAGUCUUGAGGAUUUGUUUUUGUACUGUGGUAGAAAGUUUUCACUAAAGACUGCCUUAAUGUUGGCCGAUCAAAUGAUUACAAGAAUAGAAUAUGUGCACUCUAAAGGAUUUUUGCAUAGAGACAUAAAGCCUGAUAAUUUCCUCAUGGGUCUUGGUUGUAAAGCAAAUCAGGUUUACAUAAUUGAUUUUGGACUCGCAAAAAGAUAUCGUUGCGCUACAACUAAUCGGCAUAUACCUUACAGGGAAAACAAAAACUUAACAGGGACGGCACAGUAUGCAAGUUGCAACACGCAUCUUGGAAUUGAGCAAAGUCGACGGGAUGAUUUGGAGUCCCUUGGUUAUGUACUUCUAUAUUUCCUAAGAGGAAGCCUUCCAUGGCAGGGGUUAAAAGCUGCAACAAAAAAGCAGAAAUAUGACAAAAUACGUGAGAAGAAGUUAUCAACUUCUAUUGAGGUUCUGUGCAAAGCUCACCCUGUUGAGUUUGCAUCAUAUAUCCAUUACUGCCAUUCUUUGACAUUUGAUCAGCGGCCUGAUUAUGGAUUCUUAAAGCGUCUGUUUCGUGACUUGUUUGCUCGUGAAGGAUAUGAGUUCGAUUAUAUUUUUGAUUGGACCAUUAUAAAGUUCCAGCAGGCACAGAAAAGUAGAAGACAGCCUCGAUUAUCUCCAGUUCCUGGGGGGAGCAGCAGUCAUGCAAUGCCAAUGGAUAUUAAUCGCCAAGUUGUUAAUGGUCCGCACUCAGCUGAUGUCACAGAGCAUCCUAGAUCAAGCAAUGUAACUGGUCCUGGCACACGCAUGCACUUCAGAUCACCUAUGGGCAAGCAUUUGAGUCCUGAUUAUACUGUCAACAAGGAUAUUGUGAGUGAUGCAUACAUGCCGUCCCCUUCUUAUUCACUUGCUGGUGCCUCAAAAAGAAACACCUCAAAACCCAUGAUACCAACUGAAGCACCAAAUCCUGGUCGUGGACAGAGCAGCUAGGUUGGUCCUUCAAGUAGUUGGACUUCAUCAUUGCAGCAUAUUUCUUCUGCAAAGUGAUCAAACGGUAAUUUAUCUUGCUCAUACACUGAUGUGUGUUACAGCUCCAAAAAGAAAAAAAUAAAAUGGAAAAGGGCAUCAUUGUGCUUUAGGUUGGACUCUCUCUCAUUGCAGCAAGUAAUUUUAUCCUCUUUCACCAGUGUUGUUGACUAAAUACUUGCCAGUCUGCCUUUAGCUAUGGAUUUGAUCAAGAAGAUCAAAAGUUACAUUUAUGGAGCAGGAAAGGUGUGGUGAUUUGAUGCUAUGUUUUAUGUAUUGGUUGAAAGGUUGCUACUGAUGCAUUCAUGAUGGCUGCAAGUGUGCUGUUGAUUGGAAGAAUUGCAUAUGAAUGCAAGCUCACAGUGUUUUUCUAAGGAUUGUUUUAUACCUACAAUGUGUGUGAAGGGUGGGGAUAUGACAGAAAAGUACUGUUUAGGGAUGGCAUCUGAAGACCACAGAAUACAUCUUCAUUGUUAGAGGAAGAGGCUACAGAACUGAUUGAGGGAAGAUUGCUUGAGGUUAUAUUGAUUUUAUGGUGAAUGCUUUUGUAGUUUCAGACUUCCAAAUUCCUGCAGCAUCUGUGAAGUAAGUGUUUCAAUUUUCCUAACAUAAGAUAGGUAUUUCUCUUGCAAAGAGGAAAUGCAUGUGUCUACCAUACAAGUUAUGAGACUUUCAAGGGUGAGAAUUGUGUAUUUGAAUGGAAUAAAAGGAAGGGCAGAAGAUCAGGCUGACAAGGCCUUGCAUGUAUGGCAUAGCAGUGCAACUAUAUGAAUUCUGAUUGCAGGUGCUCACCAGAAUUGUGGAAGAGAGGAGAUCAAGAGUGCUUGUAGGUAAUUUUUCAGGGUUCUGCAGAUAUGUGAAGCGCCUUUGGGAAAAUAAAUUUAUGAAUAAAUUAGCAUGCUUUGUCCAAUUGAGAGAUCUAGUAGUCUUUUUUUUAAAUGGAGCUUAUCAUCAGGCAUAUUGACAUUUUGAAUUCCUGAAAGCAUCAAUUAGGUAUCGCUACGGUGAUUAAUUUUCUACAAAACCCGGCCAUACUAUGCUACAAUCAGGUGUGUUUGGUUGUUGCUGAGAUGUUCAAUUUGUUUGCAGAACACCAAGUCGGAUGCUUCUGUAUUUGGAACUUUAUCAUUGGUAUCUCUCUAGGGACUGUUUUGGUCA